UCUUACUUCAAAAAGUGUUUUAUCUUUAUUUUGCGUAAAUACAAGCGACUUGUCUGGAUCAUUAGUUCUUGGGUUGUCUUGGACUCACGUAACUCAUUGGGAUGGAAGGAAGAAGCGCAUGUAUUAAGUAUUCACUUCUAGUCAGCAAAUGGGAGGAAAUGUCUUUUGAAUGCUUUUGACUGCGUGCUGCGUCAUCUGCAGCGGUUCUGCAGCUUGAAAAAAAAAAAUGCUUCCCCUUUCCAUGAUGUAAAAUAAAAAUAAUUACAAUUCGUAUCUGUCCUCUUCACCACACCCUGCUCAUGUUGUACUUAGUCUGCCCCCUCUCCGCCCCCCCCCCCCCCCCCCCCCCGCCCCCUGCAGCCUUCUCCCACCUCAAAGGGCUGCAGCAGGUUUCAUGCAUCAGCCCCUUUCUCAGACACACACACACACGCUGUCACACAGUUCAGUCAGUCUCUCCGCAGCGUUCGGCACCUCAAACUUUAUUUUCCGGCUCACGACUUUGGAAACCAGCAACGCUGCGAGCGGCCUGCUCGCUUCCUGCCGCCGCAGAGAACGCAGCCGGCUUACAGUGGCAUAAGAUAAAGGCCAUAGACACACUUCCUGUCACGCCUGCAGUCUUCUUAGUUUAAACCCAACCAAUGGAUCUUCUGAUGAGAACUUCGCUUUAAAGUACAAGGACUUCUAACUUCUAUAAAGCCGACUUUCUCCUCUACUCUGAGAAGGUAAACUACAUUUCUAAACGUCACCCGUCUCAGUUUUGUGGCGUCUACAGCUCGAUCGAAAAGGACUUUAGCCGUGUGGAUUUCAAGCAGUUCAAGGUUCACCUGCUUUAUAUUACCUCUGGUGAAAUGGAAAUCCUGAAAUUUACAUUUGCCGGCAUCAUCUAAUCUGCCACAGGCACAGUAGGACAAAACGCAUCCAUGUGGCACCCAAGUAAAAUAUAACUACAAAAAACAACUCUAAGUGUGAAUAAUUUCAAUUUGCUGGUUAACGAUGAUGUGCUGGAUUUAAAAAAAAUGCCAAUGUGUGGCCAUUGUAACCCUUUUCUCUCUCUCUCUUUCUCUCUCCCUUUUUUCACUUCAGGCAUGACAGGCAUGACAGACAUGACAGACAAAAAGCCAACCGUGCUGGUCCUUUCGCUCUGUCUGAUCGGCCUACUUUUACUGCUGUUCUUCUUUUACAAGAUGUUGAACAGGGAGGCCAAGGGCGAGUACACCGUGCGCCGCCUGGUGUAUAGGGAUGGAGGGGUCAGGGACCGGGUGAGAGGCGCGUUGUUGGCCCUGGGGACGCGCCUCGGAGUCCGGCUGUGGCCCUGGAGCGACGCCGAUGAGGAUGGAGAGGAGAUGCGGGAAGUGGAGGAUGAGGAGGGUCAGUUGGAGGAGGGGGGCAGCCAGUCGAGUGACAGCGAGGGGGACGGCGAGGAGGACGGGGAGCAGUGCAGCACGUCAAAGGGAGAGGAAGACGACGGACAUCGUAGCUCAGACUACGAGAGUUCGGAGGCCGGCGAGCCAGACAGAGUAACGGAUCAGGGGGAAGCAGGAGGGACGGGGGAGAAAGUGGGAGAUGGGGAAUGUAAAGGUGAGGCGAGUGGGGGAGCCGGGGUGUUGAUAGAUCUGAAGAAGUUCUCUGGAAGUGCCAUCUGGUCUGAGGAAGAGGGUGGUGGGCGCAUGCUCAGUGACGUGACUGCACUUUGAGAACAGGAUAAAACGAAAUAUCAAAUUACAGGGGUGGCUUCGGACGUAGCAGCCGACUCAGGUCUCGAUUCUCCUUCAUUAGAUGUUAAAAAUAUUGUGAAUCGGUUUUUUUUAAUUGUCAAUUGAGGUCUAAAUGAUGUUCCACCCCCCCCCUAAAAAAACAAGAGACGCAUAUUGAUAUGCAGGAGAACAAUGUAUUGCAAUUUGAAUGUGUGUAAAUGUUUACCUGUAAAACUUUUCAAAUUAACUUUGUAUCAUCGUCAGCAUAUUGCAUAGUGUUUAUUGUGGAUUUUUAAAACUUUAAAUGUCUAAUUUACAUGACAAUAAAAACUGACUGUGCUU
ensembl:lncRNA